GACGUAGGAGGCGAGCGUUAUCCGGAAUCAUUGGGUUUAAAGGGUCCGUAGGCGGUCUUAUAAGUCAGUGGUGAAAUCUCCCCGCUCAACGGGGAAACGGCCAUUGAUACUGUAAGACUUGAAUUAUUAGGAAGUAACUAGAAUAUGUAGUGUAGCGGUGAAAUGCUUAGAGAUUACAUGGAAUACCAAUUGCGAAGGCAGGUUACUACUAAUGGAUUGACGCUGAUGGACGAAAGCGUGGGUAGCGAACAGG
rnacentral:rRNA from 1 species